ensembl:snRNA U6 U6 spliceosomal RNA
GUGCUUGCUUCGGCAGCACAUAUAUUAAAAUUGGAACGAUACAGAGAAGACUAGCAUGGCCCCUGCGCAAGGGUGACAGGCAAAUUCGUAAAGCGUUCCAUAUUUAA